GUGCUCGUUUCAGCGGAGCGCACACACUGAGACUGGAACAAUACAGAGAAGAUUAGCAGGGCCCCGCAUAAGGAUGACACACACACAUUUGUGAAAAAAUCCAUAUUUUU